AGAUCAGAGUGGAUGGAGUAGGCUGGAAGGUUCCGCGGGGAGGCUUGCCACAGAGGAUUUCAGCCCCACCCCAGCCCAGGAGCAGGAUGACUCAGCAUUUCCUAUUAUUUUUAUGAAGGCCAACCCGGGAGGCCCUAGUAAGGCUGACUGCUGUGAAAGCCGGACUGUUCUUCUGGCCCCUGGUUCAUUCUAGGUCUACGUAGUCAAAGACUGUUCCGGAAGGGAUAUGUAAUUCAUCCCGGUGCUGAUUUUGUGAAGACCAUGCGGGAACAUCCCUUUUAAUUCUCAGAAGCUACAAGGUCAUGGCCAGGCCUGGCCAGGAAAAGCCUCCAAGUGGACGUGAAUGGAUGCAGAUAAAAGGAGAGCACCCCAAAUACGGAAAAAGCACAAGUUUCAAGGCCUGGAACCUAGAUGUUAAGCCUGAGUGAUGUGGCUCACAGAGUAGCCACAUUAUUGCCCUAUG